rnacentral:rRNA from 1 species
CGUAAAGCGCAUGCAGGUGGUUUGUUAAGUCAGAUGUGAAAGACCCGGGGCGUCAACCUCGGAAUAGCAUUUGUAAACUAGGCAGACUAGAGUACUGUAGAGGGGGGUAGGAAUUUCAGGUGUAGCGGUGAAAUAGCGUAGAGAUCUGAAGGAAUACCGGUGGCGAAGGCGGCCCCCUCGGACAGAUACUGACACUCAGAUGCGAAAGCGUGGGGAGCAAACAGGAUUAGAUACCCUGGUAG